GAUGAUCGGGGGAAGAUUACCACGUAUGCAAGUAAAUCACAUUUCCCCAACUUUUGGCUCCAAUAGGGUGCUAAGCUACAAUGUACACCCCCACCAACAGGAUCCUGAAGGAUAAAAGAUAUUGAGCACAAAGGAAUAUAUGGCUGUAUGGAGAAAUUGUAAUGAAAAGGAAUGGACCAAUGCUGGGGGGAGUUAUUUCCAGCUGAAAACACUCUCAUGUGUUCUAAUUUAGCAUGCCCAAUCUGGUCUGCAUGCUUUGAAGAAGCAUACAUAUAAAUUUUCAAAACAAGCUCGAUGUUCGAUGCAAGAAGUUGUCUGAUGCUGCAAAGAAAAACAUUAUAAUGGCUUGAGACGAAGUGACAACAUAUUACCUCCUUGAUCCCCAAUUUGGGAUAGAAGCUGCGACUGAAGAAGUCAAAUUCAGAUUCUGGAGGAGCAAGUCCUGUUAUAAUUAACCCCAUCGCAGGAAGUUUUUGUAUAUCAUCAAACUGUGGUUCUAUAUCCACAACGGUCUUCCCAGACGAUAGCACGACCUGAACCAACACAACACAACUAGCUGUGAAGAAGUUGUCUUUCUCUACCACAUGACUUAUGUGGACAAAAAAUGAAGAAAGGCUAAAGGAUUCAAGAAAAUACAAAGAGGUCAUCUCCCUCAGUCUUCUUUAUAUCAAUCACUGAAGCACCAUUCAAGGCUUUGGAUAUUGAUGCAACCUCAGCAGAGUUAUAUUCGACCAUUGGGACAAUCGGGAAAUCUAAUUCGAUAGAGAAGUGUUCUUGUGCUUCUCCAUUCUCAUACUUCAAGGCAUCUGAUUUGUUGCCUUGCAUGACUUUUCUGGCAGUUAAAACUCCAGACAGUGUGAUAAACUCGAUUAAAUUCCCGUUCACCAACCUGGAAGUGAAGAGAAAGUGUGCUGCUGCUAAGGUAGCAUGGCCACAGAGAGUCACCUGCAAACAAGCGUAGCAUAGACUUAACACAAGAGAGACAUACCUAGCUGUCAAUUGAAACACAGACACAAGCACUAAUUGGUCAAAUAUGUAUUAGAUUUAUAACAACCUACUCUCAACCAUAUAGAUAUGUCCUCCUUGGGCCAAAAGGGUUCUCACGAUAUUAAAACACGUCUAGUUUACAUGAUUAAGAGGAACCCAUAAAUAUUCAAGUACUUUUCUCCUUCCCCUAUCUAAUGUGAUAUGUUAAAUAAACCCUCGCACUAGGUCAGGAUCAACUUUGAUAUUAUUUGUAAUGAUUUAUUCCUAAUUGUGUAGAUAUUGCCUGUUUUGCACUAAAGAGACUCUCAUAUAUAUAUAUAUAUAUAUAUAUAGUGACAGGAUCUUUUUCGGCUAUCCGAGAUAUCAUAUAUUUAGUAUAGUUUACAUAUCAAAACCUGCAAACCCAGUCAAUGAAGGUUGUAAUCAAACACCACAAUAAGGGAUUAGGCUUGAUUAUUAUGUUUAUGUUCAGUUUGGGAAAUGGGGAAGAAGAUUGAAAUAGAGCACAAGAAUGUUCUUUUCCUUCAUAUCUAUAUUCAAAUUUGGUAUUUGUGAUUCUCAGAAUUUCUCAAUUGGGGCAUACUUUUUCUUGAAACUAGUACAACCCAAUUGAAGCAAGCAUUGGAUUAAGUCAUCCAAUAAUUCCUGAAAUUAAACUUCAAAGUAAUAAACAAAAGCAAGAAACGGAUUUGGUAGCUGAGAAAAUGGGACGAAAAAAUAAAAUAAAAAUCAAACUUAUCUUAUCAGUGCUUUUUCUUUCAGAGGACUAAUUCCCACCUUUUCUCAACAACCAAACAUAGCAUAUGAUAAAAAUUGUAGAAAUGAACUCACCUCGGUAGUGGGAGUGAACCAUCUGAGCCGAAACCUAGGAGUUAAAAUUGUAGUGGACGAGUCAAGAGCCUCUGGCUCAGUGAUCCGAUUCAAGUAACAACUUUCAGAGAAAUUGAACUCCAUAGCCAGGGCCUGCAACCAAUCCUCAUCUCUCUCUUCCUCCAACAAGCAAACUGCAGCUGGGUUUCCCUUGAACGCUGAAUCAGUGAAUGCAUCUACCUGUCUCACAAUUCUCAACCAUAUUCAAAUAUAUAGGAUGUACCCACAUCUACAUAUAGAAAAAGAGGGAGAUGCGACACUUACCACUGUGAAUUUGACUGGUUUUUUCGCCAUGAAAGAUGGAUGAAGUUCAGCUGGAAUGGUGUUUUCUGUUAUCUCUGUAUGGGAAGGUGGGGAUGAGAAACUCAAGUCUUAAAAGGCGGCUUCUCUUCCGACAACUCUUUUGAGCUGUUUUGCGGUUGGUGGAUUAUGGAAAUAAAAAUUUAUUAAUUAUAAGUUUUUUUUAGAUUCCCUUUUUCACAACAGAGGAAGAUAAGAUCCAACUGUUUUAGAAAAGGGUUUUUAAGAAUAAUAUAUUAUUAUAUUUGAUAUUUAAAUGUAUUUAAUAUGUUUAAUAAAUAAAAUUAAAUAAUUAUAUUAUAUGAUUAAAUCAUAUUAACUCAUUUAAUAAUCCUUAAAAUUAAAUUCAAAGUAAUAAAUAAAAGAAAUAAUAAAUUUACUUAAAAAAAAGAAAAAAAAUUAAGGAUAUAUUUGUUAACUAUUUUCGAAAUUCUAUUUUUUAAAAUAAAAAUUUAGGAAAACAUAUUUGAUAACUAAAAAUUAUUUUUUGUUUUUAUUUUUAAGAACAGAAAAUAUGAUACUUUCAGAUAACAUUUUUCAAUUGUUUUAUAUUAUUUUUACCUAUUUUCUAAAAAGUAAUUAUUUAAUAAAGUAAAAUGAUUAAAAAUAGGUUAAAAACAUUUAAAUUUUUAAAUGAACUUUUAUUCUAUAAAAUAUUAAAUAAUAAUUUUAAAAAAUUACUUUAAAAAAAUAUUUUUUAGAACUGUUUUCUAAUAUAGUUAUCAAACAAAUCUUAAGUAUAAUUUACUUUUUAAUUUUGAUGUAUGUAUCUUACAUUUUAAUUUUCAAUGUUCAAAAUUUAAUAUUUUGUCCUUAAUUGUUAAAAAAAUCCAUGAUCAAUUUAUUAAGUAAAUAAAUAAGGUUAAAAUACAAAAAAAAAAAAAAAAUGAUUAAAUUUGAAGCCCACACGCUUUACAGUUGCAUACGAAAAUCUAUAAAAUAAAAUAAAAUAAAAGUGAAACUCCACAGCCCUGGCCUGCAACCAUUCCUGAUCUCUCUUCCUCUAACAAGCAGGCUGCAGCUGGGUUUCCCUUGAACGCUAUCUCUGUGAAUGCAUUUAGCUCACUGAAUUUGACUGGUUUUUUCGCCAUUGAAGUGGGGUUGUGGUUGAGUUCACUGGUUAUGGUUUCUCUUUGUCUCAGCCUCUGAGAAAGGUGGAGAUGAGACCAUCAAAAUAUAAGCUGGUUUUGGUUGGUGAAAUAAAAGAAGUAAUUGAUACUUUUUGUACAAUACUACCAUCAAAUGACAUGACAAUUAUACUUUUCAUACCAUAAUUAGAAUCUUCGAAUACUAAGGUUAGGUUCAAACAUUUUCCUUUAAAGCCUUUGUAUCCACGUGCCAAGUCACGUGUCACUUCCCUCAGUAUUGCCUAGAUAGCUGCCACAUCAUCCGAAGCCUUCCAUUCGGACCACACAGGCAUGCGGCAAAUGACACCAGACUCCCUAAGCGGGCAACAUCUUCCGGCCAGCCUUCAAGCCCCCUUGCUACGUGUAAUCAUUUCCAUCUGACAUGGAGGUGACUGUUGAGAUCUUCCCCAAUCCUUACAUCCAUGUCAAUGGAUUAUCACACACUGUCUCAUACCUCCAGCAAGUUAAAGUAACGGACAACCGCAUCAUGACACAACUUUUGACAACACCUACCAACCGCCUAAAAUUGUAAUGAUUGUCUUGCCACCUGUAAGGCAGUCAUCAUUACGAAAAAUGUCAAAGUGCCUAUUUAGCACUAUAGUGGUUUUCUCCUAAACACUAUAAAAAGCCCUCCUGAAGCAUGAUCCAGAUACGCGCAUUUAAGCUAACCUAUUCAUUCUCUCCUUGAAAGGGUCUGAUCUACCUAACUUAAGUUUCGGAGGGGGGUGUCUGGACCACCUGUCCGGACAUCCUUUGUGCAAGGAAGAAGCUUGCCUAAUUCCCCGUUGCUAGGUAGAAGCUCUAAGAGGCACAACGUAAAGAGUAUCUGACCUCAGUUGACCUCACAUCUGUUGAUACCUCGCACUCCUGGGAUUCCACGUAGCUGCCAAAUGGAUGGAGACGCGAUCUCAACACACAAAGGUUCUUGAUUCAGUCGUUAUACCUGCAAAAAGGCAUCCGGACAGGGUGUCCGGACGCACCCUCCGAUGGUAUUGUUAGUCAUGGUCAGAGAGGGAGAUAUAAAUCAGUUGGCCUUUUACUAGGUAUCUGGAGAUUACCUUCCUCUUCGUGUGAAGGUAUAUAUAUAGUGCCAGGAGUACUGUUCCUCUCAUUAAUGGUGAGGAGAUAUUUUAUGUUUUGUCAUGAUGACAUUCGGAGGCAGCAUGGUCAUCGCCACCCUACUGGUGGCUGUCAGAAACCGUGGUAGGUGAUGCUGCUGUCAAAGAUCGUGGGAAGUGAUCAUGUAGAAUGACCGUGGGAAGUGACUUGUUGUCACCUCAACCCGUCCUUUCACUCUGCAGGUGAUGGGACGUGGGUCAUGGCUGGUUGUCGUGAUAGCGUGUAAGACUUGCUAUACUUUAGUCAAUGAUCCGGACCAUUGUAUCCGGACGGCAUAUGUUUGAUCAUCCGGAUGCAUUGUGUAAAUCGUCCGGAUGAUAUGCUUAUAAGUGCCGUUUGAUCUUCCUUGAGGCAGUCCGGAUAUAAAAUGUGCGCCAUGUGCGCUUUACAGGAAGGUCCGGACGAGGGUGACCCAGGUGACAAUGUGUGCCAUGUGUCACUGUAGGAUGCGUGCCACGUGUUCUCGGAGGGAGGGGUCCCUAUAAUGCCCCCCUUUUUAACUUGCCUAUUUUGCCCGAGCAAAAAAUGGGCGGGUUAAAAAACAAUUGGUUUUUGAAACCGAAGUCGACUUUUUGUCUGGUUGGGCCACGUGGCGAGUUGGGGUGCGAGAGCCAAAAAAAGGCAUUUAUGAUGAGCCGCCGACUCUGGGUAUUCCCAGGCAGCAUGUCGUUUCAAUGAUGGCGUUUGUUGGACGUUUGGCUUUCCGAUGGGCUGUCCCCCUAUAAAUAUCAUACUGUGUCCACUGUUGCUUUUUUCUACUGCGUUUUUUCUGAGAUUGCUUUCUUCUUCAACCUUGUGUGUACCUUCGCUUCUUCUGAGUGAAACCCUAGAAUUUCCUGACGGUGAUUUGUUGUGUUUUGACGGUGCCUGCCUUACGGUUUGCAAUCCUUGCUUUUCUCUUACAUUCGGUACGUAUUGUUUAUGCCUUGUUCUUUCCUUUUCUGUGCUUUGGUGUUGUUGGUUUGUUUGGGCGAGUGUUGUUUGUAACAGGGUGUUUUGAGGGUUUCAGUUGCCCCCCUGUGGUUUUUGUGGGUUAGGGGUUUGUUGUUGGGGUAGAGUCCAAGAUUUUGGAAUGGAUAUGCUGUUGGUGCGAGGUUUUCUGAGUGUUUGUUAUCGUUUAGGGUUUGUGGGGUUGGUUGGCUGUGUUUGACUGUUGCAUUUCUUGCAUGUAGGUGUCGGUUCAACCUCGGGCUGAAAAAUGUCUUCAACGAAGAAAGCUACUUCAUCUGCCCGCGCCAGCGACGCUCAUGAGAAACCUACAGACAAACUGAACAUAAAGGAGUUCCGGGAUCGAUUCUGCAUUCCAAAUGGCGUGAUUGUGGAAUUUUUGAAUGGGGAGGACGUGGUGUCUACUGAGAAAGCAGAACAAGAUAUUGUCGUCUUCUCCAAGGAUCAAUUCAACGCGGGGCUCCGGUUCCCCCUGCCGGCGUUGUUGACGGAAUUCCUCCAUUUCACCAAGAUUCCACCCGUCUUCAUUCAUCCCAAUAUUAUCCGGGUGCUGAUGGGAUGCAGCAUCAUCAACAUGCAGUACAACCUCGACCUCACGCUGCUGGAGGUGUUUUUCGUCUAUUCGCUGAAGAAGGCGAAAACUGACAUCUUCAGCCUGUCCGCUCACCUGCCCUCCCUUCAAUUGGUGACGGAACUGCCAGACUCGACGAAGGGAGGGGCGAAGGGACGGGUGAUGGUCCGGGGUGCGUGGGCGGGGUCGAGGCAUCCGGCGAGGCCCUUCUCUCCAAACUACUCCUUAGCGAUUCCGGGUAAGUUUGCUUUACGACUUUUGUCCGGAUUUUUACCUUGUUGUUUUCUUGUUGAUCUCUCCGGAUGGUAUUCUCAACCUUUGCUGCUGUUAAUGUAGGUCCGGAAAAAAUGGGCCACCUCGUGGAUUGGGUGGAAAAGGCGUCUUUUGCCUGUCUCAGCAAGUUAUUUGAGAUAGAUGCCAAGGAGAGGCAGUGAAGACGCUGCUGACUGCGCGGAACCUAAUGGCGGUCGUCCGGGAGCCCCAAGAGUAUGUCGUCAACAUUCUCCCCAGGAAGAUGCCAAAGGAGGUAGUACCUGGGGAGCAUUACACUGUGAAGGAUCUCCCGAUUUACCAGGCGUUAAAAGAGGCUGAUGCUGAAAAACGCCGAGCACUUCUGGACAAUCGGGAGAAGAAGAAAAACGAAGGAACCCUUCGGAAGGCUCCCGGACAGAAACGCGACGCAGACUCUCCUCCAAAGAAAACUCCAGCGAAAAAGAGGAAGCUGGUGUAGAAUGGGAAGGGAGUGAAAGAGCCCACUCCUCCCAAGGAAUUUGCUCCUCCGCCCAUUACUCACGAGGCGGAGGUAAUGAUAGAGGAGCCAGUGAACCCUGCUCCUCAUUCCAUCUCAAGCGGAUCCGGACACGUCGCGGGGCUGAACCACUCAAGCACCUCCUUGGCAGCGGUUGCCCGUCUGGCGAAUUUGGUUGAGGAAGCUGCGUCCGUCAAUCAUCCGGACUCCCGUAAUCCAGAUGCCGAUGCAACUGAGGCUGUUUGUGCGACCCCGAUGGAGGAAGCAGGGGCAGAAAGUCAGAGUCAGCCCCCUGACGAUCCGGACCGUCUGGCUCUUGUUCUGGUGAAGGGGCCCCCUUUAAAGAGGCCACGCUCGGUGCGCAAUCUGAGGUCCGGACUCAUGGGGCGGCUUCAAGAUCGUCAGCAAGAGAUUGAAGUUAGUUGCACAUCCGCCCACCACGCUCAUCCGGAGGGGAGUGAAGUCGAGAUGGCAACUGAGUUUUCAGCCGUCCCGGUGAUGGUCCCGGAUGAGGUUGCACCCGGGGAGACCCAUCCGGCCGUAAAUGUUGAGGCCCCUCAUCCGGAACGAAAGUCACCUUCUGCUGCUUCAUCCGGGGGGGGGAACCUGUUAAUGACGCAAGCUCCUCCGCUAGCUCUUUUAGCUAUGCGGAGUUGGAAGAUAAGCUGAAACAAAUUCCACCCGGCUCGCCUGACAUCCUGCCCUCAGCCCAGAUGUUCGAGUCGGUGGAAAUGGUAAACUGUUUUUUUGUGCUUUUUGAUUCUUUUGCCAUUUUGAUGUGUUGUUGUGGUAUGAUUUAUAACUUUGCUUUGCUUGUUUGUGUGUUAGCUGGUGAGUGGUCUCCGCGGCAUGGCUCAACAACACGAUCUCUUUGCUGAUCUGCUGCGGACCACUGAUUAUAUGAGGAUCUUCGCCUCUCGGCAUAAAGAAAGUGAAAACCAGUUGCGUCUGAGACUGGAAGAGGCUGAAGCCAGCUUAUCCACCGCUCGAGCGGAUAAUGAAGCCCUUCGGGCAGAUUUGGCUGAUGCAAAGAGCCGGGAGGAAUCAACGGAGGUCCGCCUGCAUGAGGCAGAGGAUGAGAUGGCCCGGCUGAGGGGGGAGGUGAGGCACCUCCGGACAGAAGUUUCUAUCGAAAAGAAACAGAGGGAAGACUUGCAGCUGCGCUUAGUUUGCACAAAAAGAGGAGUUAGAACUGGAGUUUGCUGCAGAGAGGGAGGAACUUGAAGUAGAAUACCAAAAACAAGUGGAUGAUACGUUCAUCUUUGGGUAUCGGUGCUGCAUGAAGAAGAACGGUAUCAAGCGGGACGUGCCUUCAAUUCCUCCGGGUGAAGAAAAGAAGCUUCAUGACAAGCCUGCUCCCUGAUAGCUUCCUUUUUUGCAAUUUCUUCUGUAAUCUUCUUUCUGUAUUUUUGUGGUCCGGAGACCUCUUUGUUCAUACAUUUAUCCACAUCAAUAAAAAUACUUCUUUUUCAUUUGCACUUGUCUCUGCUUUUUCAUUGAUAGUACUGCUUUAAAUUAGACACAUUUCAAGGUCUAAGUAAUGGAGUUCCGUCUAACUUUUGUAAAUGAUAAGCUCCAUUGUCACUUACCUUAGACACUAUAUAGGGUCCUUCCCAGUUGGCCUGGAACUUCCCUGCGCCUACCUCAGCAGUGUUUUCAAAAACUUUUCUAAGGACUAGCGUACCAUUUUUGAAGCUUCUUGGCCUCACUUUGCGAUUGUAAUGUGCUGAUGCCCUUUGUUGAUAAUCUGCCAUCCGGAUGGCCGCGCUUUCCCUCACUUCAUCCGUCCAAUCCAAAUUUCUUCCUAAUUCCAUGUUUGCAUCACUCUGUUCUGCUGCGUCAGUCCGGAUAGUAGGAAGACCUAUUUCAGUAGGAAUGACUGCAUCCAUUCCAUAUGCGAGAGCGAAAGGAGUAUUUUCUGUUGGCCGUCCGGGUGUAGUUCGGUAGGCCCAUAAGACGCCGGGUAGCUCCUCGACCCAUUUUCCUUUGGCUUGUUCAAGCCUUUUCUUUAAGGCAGUGAUUAGGGUUUUGUUUGUAGCUUCUGCUUGCCCAUUACUUUGAGGAUAUCGCGGUGUGAAGUAUGAAUUCCGGAUGUUCAGCUCCACACAGAAAUUUCUGAAAGCAAUGCUGUCAAAUUGCGGACCAUUGUCAGCUAUGAUGGCUUGGGGAAUCCCAAAACGGCAAAUAAUGUUUUUCCAUACGAACUUGGUGACAUCUUUGUCUUUGAUGCUAGCAUAUGCUUCAGUUUCUACCCACUUACUAAAGUAAUCAGUGGCAACAAAGAGGAAUUUCUUUUGGGCAGGCGCAACUGGGAGAGGUCCCACUAUGUCCAUGCCCCAUUGUGCGAAGGGUCAUGGGCUUGAUAUUGAUUUCAAUGUUGCUGAUGGCAUAUGUGGAAUGGGAGCAUGCUUUUGACAUUUGUCACAAUUUUUGACGUAUGCUGCCGCAUCCUUCUUCAUUGUUGGCCAAUAAUAUCCCUGUGAAUGGGCUCGAUGUGCCAGAGAUCGUCCUCCUGAAUGAUUCCCGCAUAUUCCUUCGUGUAACUCAGCUAACACAUACUGGGCCUCUGAAUGCCCUAGGCAACGAAGGUAAGGUCCUGUGAAGGACCGCUUGUACAGGUGUCCCCCAAUCAGGGUGAAACAGGCAGCUUGCACCCGGACUUUGUGUGCUUGUUUGAGAUCUCCGGGUAAAGUUCCAGUCCGGAUAUAUUCUGUGAUGCCAUUCAUCCAUUCUUGGCCGUCCACUUGGGAUGCCUCAAUGGUAUUGCAGGUGGAACUUUCUGCGACAGAGGGGUUGGGUUGCACAUGUAUGGGCAAUAGAAUGGCUUCUUUGAUAGGGAGGGAGGCAGCUAUGCCGGCCAAGGCGUCAGCGCGCCUAUUGUCAGCUCGCUUGAUUUUUUCGAUUGUCCAUUCGGUGAAUUGCUGCAAGGUGUUUCUUACUUUAGCUAAGUAACGCGCCAUGCGUGCGUCCUUAGCCUCAUAUUCCUCCUGGACAUGCUUUACCACGAGUUGUGAGUCGCUGUAGAUCCGGAGUUUGGAGACGGAUAGAGCAAGGGCGAGGUCCAAUCUGGACAAGAUGGCCUCAUAUUCUGCUUCAUUGUUAGAGGCAGGGAAUCCCAACCGGAUGGCUUGCUCCAAAUGUUCCCCAGUUGGGGACUGUAGUAGGAGCCCAACUCCAGAGCCUGAUGAGCGUGAGGCUCCGUCAACUCGUAGAGUCCACCAUACUUGUUUGUUUGAUUCGUGGUGUUGGCUGGGUCUUCGGGAAUAUUCUAGCACGAAGUCAGCCAUUACUUGGCCUUUCAUGGACAAUCUGGGUUGGAAUUCGAUUCCAAAUUCGCUUAAUUCGAUGGCCCAUUGUAGCAUUCUCCCGGUUAAAUCUGGCUUGUGCAGAAUGUUGCGAAGGGGCUGGUCGGUUAGUACGAUCACUGGAUGAGCUUGGAAAUAAGGGCGGAACUUCUGGGCAGCGCUUCGAAGGGCUAAGGCUGUUAGCUCCAUUUUUUAAUAUCGGGUUUCUACGUCUGCCAAUGCCCUGCUCACGUAGUAGAUAGGUUUCUGCUCCUUGGGUGAGGGGCAGCAGAGUAGAACGGCACUGAUUGCCCACUCUGAUACCGCCAGAUACAUAUACAAUUUCUCUUUUAGAAUGGGGCUGUUCAAGAUGGGUGGUUGCGUAAGACAAUGUUUUAUCUUUUCGAAAGCGUUUUGGCAACUGUCCGUCCAUCCGUGCGCUCCAGCUUUUCGUAUUGCCAGGAAGAAGGGUCGUAAUUCAUCAGUGAAGCGGGCUAUGAAACGCCCUAACGCAACGAGCUUGCCUGUGAGGCGUUGUAACUCCUUCUUAUUCUUGGGAGGGGGUGUUCCCAUGACUGCCUUGACUUGAUCCGGGCUGACUUCUAUGCCCCUUUGGCUGACCAUAAAUCCCAGAAAUUUGCCAGCACUUACGCCAAAGGCGCAUUUAGAAGGAUUUGACUUCAUGCCAUACUUUCGUAAGAGGUGAAAAACUUCUUGUAAGUGAAGGACAUGUUCCUCUCGGGUUUUGCUUUUAACCACUAUAUCAUCAAUAUAUACCUCUACCGUGUGUCCCAUCAGGGGUUUAAAGAUUUUUGUCAUCAAUCUUUGGUAAGUGGCGCCAGCAUUUUUGAGUCUGAAUGGCAUGAUUUGUAGCAAUAGAGGUCGUGUGGCGUUAUGAAUGCUGUCUUUUCUUCGUCAUCCGGGGACAUGGGGAUCUGGUGAUAUCCGGAGAAGGCAUCCAAGAAAGAGAGCAUUCCUUGCCCAGAAGUGGAAUCCACAAUUUGAUCUAUUCGCGGCAAGGGAAAACUGUCUUUUGGACAUGCGCUGUUGAGAUUGGUGUAGUCUACACAAACUCGCCAUUUUCCUUCUUUUUUGGAUAAGAUACUUCUCUGACGAAUCCGGCAUUUAGUAGUUUGUCAAUCUCUUUCCGGAUAACUUCUUGUCUAUCCGGGUGGAAACGUCUAAUCUUCUGCUGGACGGGUCUGGCAGCUGCAAAGACGUUAAGCUUGUGAGAUGCAACAGAUGGAUGAAUUCCCCUCAUAUCAGAAUGUGCCCAUGCGAAGAUGUCAUGGUUUCGCCUGAAGAUAUUUUGUAUGCUCUGAGUUUCUUCGGUCGUCAUGAGGGAACUGAUGUUCGUGAGGUGAGUGCUUUCCUCCGAAAUUUGGAUUGUUUGUAAGGGAUCUGCUGCAGGGGGAUCUUUGUCCGCCGGACCCAAUAAUUGCUAUUGGUCAUGUGCAAUGCUGGGUUCAGGGGGAGAUGCAUCCUCCUGAUUGGCCCCCGCUUCACGUGCUAUCUGAUAGCAUUGACGGGCGGCUAAUUGGCUGCCAUAUAGGUCGAUUUGGCCCUCGUUGGUGAGAAAGCUCACCAUUUGAUGAUAUGUAGAGGGGAUGGCUUUCAUGUAAUGAAGCCAUGUGCGCCCCAAGAUGAUAUUGAAGGGUGAUAACUCUUGUACCAUCGAGAAUUGUACGUUGAGAGUGACUGGGCCAGCUUGGACCGGCAGUACAAUGUCUCCCAAAGACGUAGUUGAUGAGCCGUUGAAUCCGGACAGUAUUCGUCUGGGGUUUUCAAGGCCUGUGAGACUGUGUCCCAUGUGGCUAACGACCGAUGCUUGUAUAAGAUCGGCCGAGCUGUCUGGGUCAACCAAGAUACGUCGCACAUCGAAGUCUCCUAUCUCUAGGGACAAGAUGAGGGCGUCUCGAUAUGGUUGCAGUGUCCGGGUGGGAUCUACUGGUGGGAAAAUGAUUGUCCCAUCUAUGGGGCAAGGGCUCCCUCCAGUUAGCCCAGGCCGGAUGGAAUUGAUGCGCUCGCGUAUUGAUGCGGCCCGCAACAAUUUUUGUCUCUUUCGCUUAGAGUCGUACUCCUCGUCGGAUGGACCUCCGUUAAUAUAGUUUAUAACGGCCUUGGGGACAGAUGGGGCCCUAGGGGCUCCGGGGUUGUGAUGUUGGGAUGCGCCCCUUCCUCCAUUAUCUGAUCGGAGGUAUUGCUUCAAAUGCCCUGCUUUUAUGAGCCUCUCGACCAGAAACUGGAAAGCUCGGCAUGUCUCUGUUGUAUGGCCAUGAUCCUUGUGGAAGGCACAUCUCCUACUACGAUCCCUUGUAGAUGGGUCUGUUCCAAUGGGUCUAGGCCAUCUGAAGUCGGACAAGCCCUGGAUCAUUGGGAGAAGUUUCUCAUAUGAUAUGGAAAGAGGUGUGAGAGGCGGCAUUUUCGGGCGACUUGGCCCUUCCUGCUUUCUGUCAGACGGCUUUGGCCGAUCCGGAGGUUUAUUAUUUCCCUCCGUAUUAUUUCUAGAUGGCCGUCCGGCAACCAAAACUUGCUGGGUGGCUGCACGUACGUCAUCUUCGAGCAUUGAAUAUUUGUUGGCGCGCCUGAAUAAGUCAUCCAUUGUUGUAAGAGGUUUUUUAACCAGUGAUUCGAAAAAUGGAGUGCCUGGACAGAUGCUUCGCUUGAAGAUCUGUAGGACAGCAUUCAUACUGCAAGCCUCUACUUGAAGCACGGCCUGGCCAAAUCGCUUCACGAAUUCCCUCAAGGAUUCGUUAUCUUGCAUUUUUAUGUUCUGCAGGGUGCUGAUAUUUUGCUUGUGUCGUGCGGAGCACAAGUAUUGUCCCACGAAAGCUUCGGACAGGUCCCUGAAAUUGCCAACAGAGUUGGGAGGUAGGCGAUGAAACCAUAGAGGGUCUGUCCUUGUAAGCUGGCGGGAAAUACUUUGCAUAGCAGUGCAUCGUUGCCAAUAUCGAGCGUCAUAAGCUGUCAAUAAUGCAUGAUGUGAUCGAAGGGAUCGUUGGUUCCAUCGUAUGUGGAAAACUUUGGUACGAGGAAUCCUCUUGGGGGCUCGUAAUUAAUGAUAUGAGAGCAGAAAGGCGUGGAGAGCAUGUCAUCCAGCCUUUUGCUGAUGGAGCCAAUGGGUGGCUCGUUUGGGAUGUUUCUCCCAGUUGGUUGUUUCGCUGGGUGCGAAUGAACGUUCCGCAUCACGGGGGUGACUACGGGGUCACGAUGCGGGUGAACGUUUUGCACCAUAGGGGUGGCCAUGGGGUCAGGGCGUGGUGCCCAGGUUGUGGCCAUUGGUGGCCUUGAUCUUUCAGGCUCUUGUGGGCCUAACCUUGCGCGCAUCGAAUUUGACAACUGGGAUUUUUUAUCACGUUGUCUUUUCGCUGAAAAGUGAGUAGAGUCUGAGCUUUCCUCACGGGGAAUUCGAGGCAUAGGCGUGCGUGGCUCAUGAGGCCUCACGUUGUAUGCUCCUGGAAUAGCUCCCGUUGUCCCAGGAUAUAUUGAUUCCGGUUCUUGUUGAGGCCUUGAGUUUGCUACUUGGCCUCUUGAACGCUGACGUCGAGGAGGCCUUGAUGUUGAAGUCUGGAUGCGUAAUACAGCGUUUUCUUCUCUCAGUCUUUCUGUCUCCUGGAGGAGAGCUUUUAGUUGUCGUUCGCUUGCCAACUGCCUUCUUUCAAUGGUUUGACGCCAUUCAAAAUCAUCCUCCUCUCUCCUACCAGAUGAACGGCUUUGGGAAGAUGUAGCCAUCUUUUUUAGUGACUGAAUCAAAGUAAAAUUUUCCCACAGACGGCGCCAAUGUUGAUACCUUGCACUCCUGGGAUUCCACGUAGCUGCCAAAUGGAUGGAGACGCGAUCUCAACACACAAAGGUUCUUGAUUCAGUCGUUAUAUCUGCAAAAAGGCAUCCGAACAGGGUGUCCGGACGCACCCUCCGAUGGUAUUGUUAGCCAUGGUUAGAGAGGGAGAUAUAAAUCAGUUGGCCUUUUACUAGGUAUCUGGAGAUUACCUUCCUCUUCGUGUGAAGGUAUAUAUAUAGUGUCAGGAGUACUGUUCCUCUCAUUAAUGGUGAGGAGAUAUUUUAUGUUUUGUCAUGAUGACAUUCGGAGGCAGCAUGGUCAUCGCCACCCUACUGGCGGCUGUCAGAAACCGUGGUAGGUGAUGCUGCUGUCAAAGAUCGUGGGAAGUGAUCAUGUAGAAUGAUCGUGGGAAGUGACUUGUUGUCACCUCAACCCGUCCUUUCACUCUGCAGGUGAUGGGACGUGGGUCAUGGCUGGUUGUCGUGAUAGCGUGUAAGACUUGCUAUACUUUAGUCAAUGAUCCGGACCAUUGUAUCCGGACGGCAUAUGUUUGAUCAUCCGGAUGCAUUGUGUAAAUCGUCCGGAUGAUAUGCUUAUAAGUGCCGUUUGAUCUUCCUUGAGGCAGUCCGGAUAUAAAAAGUGCGCCAUGUGCGCUUUACAGGAAGGUCCGGACGAGCGUGACCCGGGUGACAAUGCGUGCCAUGUGUCACUGUAGGAUGCGUGCCACGUGUUCUCGGAGGGAGGGGUCCCUACAACAUCAACAAUUUCCAUUGCUGUUUUGAAACUCUUUAGCCCCAACAUCACCACCAUGAAUGACCAACCUAUUGCAUUCUAUUAAACCAAGAAUACUUUACAAGACUAUAAAAUUCUCAUUUGGUGCCUUGGCAGCCAUCACCCAUUUAUGCACACUAUUAGAACGGUGUGGAACUGUUACGCCCAUGACAUCUCUAGAAUGAUUGAGACGUUGUAAAAUUUUAUCCAUUAUUCCCAGAACUUUCACCCAACUCUAGAGGAAGGUAGAGAUCAGUGGACUCCUUUGGAAGAAUGAACAACUUGACUUCAUGUUUACAAAGUUCUACUCUGCUGUAAGUGCUCAAAUCAUGGAUUAUUUAAGAAAAACACGACACAUUGAGGAAAAAAACUGUAGAUUUAUCGAAAUCCCACCCUUUUAAGUAUUGAAAGCAGAUGUUCAAGGGGAAUUAAUACGAAGAUGUUUGAAGAAGAUGAAAUUUGGGGAAGCGGCUUAAAUAAAAUUCUAAAAACAAAAAACUAAGAAUAUUAUUAAAUUCAGCAUCACUUAAUCUAAUGCUAGAGCCAGUUCAAUACUAGAAGUUUCACUCCCAAUACACCGUUUCACAAAAUAGUAGCAUUUAAUUUGCUCCAGGUCAUUCUUGUAGAAAAUCUCCUCCAAUUAGUGUUUGCUAGAAAGGCUUUCAGCCUCAAUAAAGGCCCAUUAUACUUUGUGACAUACUGGCAAAUGGAAAAAGGAGACAAUAGCAGCACAGUUGGAUGGUUUCCAAAUGGAAAUUCACAGAAGGAAGUCCAUACUCCAUAGCAAGCAACAAUACCAGGUUUAUAAUUCAAAAAUCUUGAUUAUAAUUGAAGGCCCCUCCACACAAGAACCACAAUUUAUUUUAAUUCUGUUGUACGUCAAAUGCUCUAAAUUUAAACCAGGACACAACCUUCCAUGACUGUAACGGCUUUUCCUCGCAACAGCACCCUCUGGUUUUGUUCAUCUAAAUGAAUAUCCACUCUUCCACUUCUAGGAGAUGCCUGAACAAAGUAAACAUUAUAGUAUAAUCAAUAUGAUGAAGACCAUAAUGACGAUGAUGAUAACAAUGAUGAUGAUCGGGGGAAGAUUACCGCAUAUGCAAGUAAAUCGCAUUUCCCCAACUUUUGGCUCCAAUAAGGUGCUAAGCUACAAUGUGCACUCCCACAAACAGGAUCCUGAGAGAUAAAAGAUAUUGAGCACAAAGGAAUAUAUGGAGGUAUGCAGAAAUUGUAAUGAAAAGGAAUGGGCCGAUGCUGGGGGGAAUUUUCUCCAGCUGAAAAACACUCUCAUGUGUUCUAAUUUAGCAUGUCCAAUCUGGUCUGCAUACUUUGAAGAAGCAUAUAUAUAAAUUUUCAAAACAAGCUAGAUGUUCGAUGUGAGAAGUUGUUUGAUGCUGCAAAGAAAAACAUUAUAAUGGUUUGAGACCAAGUGACAACUUAUUACCUCCUUGAUCCCCAAUUUGGGACAGAAGAAGCGACUGAAGAAGUCAAAUUCAGAUUCUGGAGGAGCAAGCCCUGUUAUAAUUAACCCCCUCCCUGGAAGUUUUUGUAUAUCAUCAAACUGUGGUUCUAUAUCCACAACGGUCUUCCCAGAUGGUAGCACGACCUGAACCAACACAACACAACUAGCUGUGAAGAAGUUGUCUUUCUCUACCAUAUGAAUUAUAUGGACAAAAAAGUGAAGAAGCAAAGGGCUAAAGGAUUCGAGAAAAUACAAAGAGGUCAUCUCCCUCAGUCUUCUUUAUAUCAAUCACUGAAGCACCAUUCAAGGCUUUGGAUAUUGAUGCAACCUCAGCAGAGUUAUAUUCGACCAUUGGGACAAUCGGGAAAUCUAAUUCGACAGAGAAGUGUUCUUGUGCUUCUCCAUUCUCAUACUUCAAGGCAUCUGAUUUGUUGCCUUGCAUGACUUUUCUGGCAGUUAAAACUCCAGACAGUGUGAUGAACUCUAUCAUAUUUCCCUUCAUCAAGCUGGAAGUGAAGAGAAAGUGUGCUGCUGCUAAGGUAGCAUGGCCACAGAGAUUCACCUGCAAACAAGCGUAGCAUAGACUUAACACAAGGAAGACAUAGCUAGCUGUCAAUUGAAACACAGACACAAGCACUAAUUGGUAAAAUAUGUAUUAGAUUUAUAACGACCUACUCCCAACCAUUAGAUAUGUCUUCCUUGGGCCAAAAGGGUUCUCAAGAUUUUGAAACGCGUCUAAUCUACAUGAUUAAGAGGAACCCAUAAAUAUUCAAGUACUUUUCUCCUUCCCCUAUCUAAUGUGAUAUGUUAAACAAACUCUCAUUUGUAAUGAUCUAUUCCUAUUUGUGUAGAUAUUGUCUGUUUUGCACUAAAGAGGCUCUCAUUUAUAUAUAUAGUGACAGGAACUUUUUUCGGCUAUCCAAGAUAUCAUAAGAUUAGUAUAGUUUAGAUAUCAAAACCUGCAAACCCAGUCAAUGAAGGUUGUAAACAAACACCACAAUAAGGGAUUAAGCUUAAUUAUUAUUUUUCUCUUCAGUUUGGGAAAUGGGGAAGAAGAUUGAAAUACAGCACAAGAAUGUUCUUUUCCUUCAUAUCUAUAUUCAAAUUUGGUAUUUGUGGUUCUCAGAAUUUCUCAAUCGGGGCAUACUUUUUCUUGAAACUAGUACAACCCAAUUGAAGCAAGCAUUGGAUUAAGUCAUCCAAUAAUUCCUGAAAUUAAACUUCAAAGUCAUAAACAAAAGCAAGAAACGGAUUGGGUAGCUGAGAAAAUGGGACGAAAAAAUAAAAUAAAAAUCAAACUUAUCUUAUCAGUGCUUUUUCUUUCAGAGGACUAAUUCCCACCUUUUCUCAACAACCAAACAUAGCAUAUGAUAAAAAUUGUAGAAAUGAACUCACCUCGGUAGUGGGAGUGAACCAUCUGAGCCGAAACCUAGGAGUUAAAAUUGUAGUGGACGAGUCAAGAGCCUCUGGCUCAGUGAUCCGAUUCAAGUAACAAGUUUCAGAGAUAUUGAACUCCAUAGCCAGGGCCUGCAACCAAUCCUCAUCUCUCUCUUCCUCCAACAAGCAAACUGCAGCUGGGUUUCCCUUGAACGCUGAAUCAGUGAAUGCAUCUACCUGUCUCACAAUUCUCAACCAUAGUCAAAUAUAUAGGAUGUACCCACAUCUACAUAUAGAAAAAGAGGGAGAUGCGACACUUACCACUGUGAAUUUGACUGGUUUUUUCGCCAUGAAAGAAAGUUCAGCUGGAAUGGUGUUUUCUGUUAUCUCUGUAUGGUAAGGUGGGGAUGAGAAACUCAACUCUUAAAAGGCGGCUUCUCUUCCGACGACUCUUUUGAGCUGUUUUGCGGUUGGUGGAUUAUGGAAAUAAAAAAUUAUUAAUUACAAGUUUUUUUUAGAUUCCCUUUUUCACAACAGAGAAAGAUAAGAUCCAACUGUUUUAGAAAAGGGUUUUUAAGAAUAAUAUAUUAUUAUAUUUGAUAUUUAAAUGUAUUUAAUAUAUUUAAUAAAUAAAAUUAAAUAAUUAUAUUAUAUGAUUAAAUCAUAUUAACUCAUUUAAUAAUACUUAAAAUUAAAUUCAAAGUAAUAAAUAAAAGAAAUAAUAAAUUUGUUUAGAAAAAAAAAAUUAAGGAUAUAUUUGUUAACUAUUUUUGAAAUUCUAUUUUUUAAAAUAAAAAUUUAGGAAGACACGUUUGAUAAUUUAAAACUAUUUUCUAUUUUUACUUUCAAAAAUAGAAAAUAUUAUACUUUCAGAUAACAUUUUUCAGUUGUUUUAUAUUAUUUUUACCUAUUUUUAAAAAAAUUAUUUUAAAAAUUAAUUAUUCAAUCAAGUAAAAUGAUUAAAAAUAGGUUAAAAAUACUUAAAUUUUUAAAUGAACUUUUAUUCUAUAAAACAUUAAAUAAUAAUUUUAAAAAAUUACUUUAAAAAAAUCAUUUUUAAAACUAUUUUCUAAAACAGUUAUUAAACAAAUCUUAAGUAUAUUUAUUUUUUAAUUUUGAUGUAUGUAUCUUACAUUUUAAUUUUCAAUGUUCAAAAUUUAAUAUUUUGUCCUUAAUUGUUAAAAAAAUCCAUGAUCAAUUUAUUAAGUAAAUAAAUAAGGUUAAAAUACAAAAAAAAAAAAAUUGAUUAAAUUUGAAGCCCACACGCUUUACAGUUGCAUACGAAAAUCUAUAAAAUAAAAAUAAAUAAAUAAAUAAGUGAAACUCCACAGCCCUGGCCUGCAAUCAUUCCUGAUCUCUCUUCCUCUAACAAGCAGACUGCAGCUGGGUUUCCCUUGAACGCUGUCUCUGUGAAUGCAUUUAGCACACUGAAUUUGACUGGUUUUUUCGCCAUUGAAGUGGGGUUGUGGUUGAGUUCACUGGUUAUGGUUUCUCUUUGUCUCAGCCUCUGAGAAAGGUGGAGAUGAGACCAUCAAAAUAUAAGCUGGUUUUGGUCGGUGAAAUAAAAGUAGUAACUGAUACUUCUUGUACAAUACUACCAUCAAUGACAUGACAAUUAUACUUUUCAUACCAUAAUUAGAAUCUUCGCGUGCCAAGGUUAGGUUCAAACAUUUUCCUUUAAAGCCUUUGUGUUAUUCACCUCUUUCUAUUUAAGUAUUAUCUGCAUAUGUGAUUUUUGUGGGGACUCCCCUCCACGUGUCACUCCCCUCAGUACUGCCCGGAUAGCUGCCACAUCAUCCGAAGCCUUCUAUCCGGACCACACAGGCAUGCAGCAAAUGACACUAGACUCCCUAAGUGGGCAACGUCUUCCAACCAGCCUUCAAGCCCCCUUGCUACGUGUAAUCAUUUCCAUCUCACAUGGAGGUGACUGAUGAGAUAUUCCCCAGUCCUUACAUUCAUGUCAAUGGAUUAUCACACACCGUCUCAUACCUCCAGCAAGUUGAAGUGACAGACAACUGCAUCAUGACACAACUUUCGACGGCACCUGCUAGCCGCCUAAAACUGUAAUGAUUGUCCUAUCACCUGCAAGACAGCCAUCAUUAUGGAGAAAGUCAAAGUGUCUAUUCGGCACUACAAUAGCUUUCUCCUAAGCACUAGAAAAAGUCCUCCUGAAGCAUAAUCCAGGUACGCGCGUUUAAGCUGAUCUAUUCAUUCUCUCCUUGAAAGGGUCUGAUCUACCUAACUUAAGCUUCGGAGGGGUGUGCCUGGACCACCUAUUCAGACAUCCUUUGUGCAAAGAAGAAGCUUGCCCAGUUCCCUGUCACUAGGCAUAAGCUCUGAGACGCACAACGUAAGGAGUAUCUGACCUCAGUUGACCUCGCAUAACAAUUUCCAUUGCUAUUUUGAAACUCUUUAGCCCCAACAUCACCACCGUGAAUGACCAACCUGUUGCAUUCUAUUAAACCAAGAAUACUUUACAAGACUAUAAAAUUCUCAUUUGGUGCCUUGGCAGCCAUCACCCAUUUAUGCACACUAUUAGAACGGUGUGGAACUGUUACGCCCAUGACAUCUCUAGAAUGAUUGAGACGUAGUAAAAUUUUAUCCAUUAUUCCCAGAACUUUCACCCAACUCUAGAGGAAGGUAGAGAUCAGUGGACUCCUUUGGAAGAAUGAACAACUUGACUUCAUGUUUACAAAGUUCUACUCUGCUGUAAGUGCUCAAAUCAUGGAUUAUUUAAGAAAAACACGACACAUUGAGGAAAAAAAAUGUAGAUUUAUCGAAAUCCCACCCUUUUAAGUAUUGAAAGCAGAUGUUCAAGGGGAAUUAAUACGAAGAUGUUUGAAGAAGAUGAAAUUUGGGGAAGCCUGAAUUUUACAGGCUUAAAUAAAAUUCUAAAAACAAAAAACUAAGAAUAUUAUUAAAUUCAGCAUCACUUAAUCUAAUGCUAGAGCCAGUUCAAUACUAGAAGUUUCACUCCCAAUACACCGUUUCACAAAAUAGUAGCAUUUAAUUUGCUCCAGGUCAUUCUUGUAGAAAAUCUCCUCCAAUUAGUGUUUGCUAGAAAGGCUUUCAGCCUCAAUAAAGGCCCAUUAUACUUUGUGACAUACUGGCAAAUGGAAAAAGGAGACAAUAGCAGCACAGUUGGAUGGUUUCCAAAUCCAAAUUCACAGAAGGAAGUCCAUACUCCACAGCAAGCAACAAUACCAGGUUUAUAAUUCAAAAUUCUUGAUUAUAAUUGAAGGCUCCUCCACACAAGAACCACAAUUUAUUUUAAUUCUGUUGUACGUCAAAAGAUGAAACUUGCUCUAAACUUAAACCAGGACACAACCUUCCAUGACUGUAACGGCUUUUCCUCGCAACAGCACCCUCUGGUUUUGUUCAUCUAAAUGAAUAUCCACUAUUCCACUUCUAGGAGAUGCCUGAACAAAGUAAACAUUACAGCAUAAAAAAUACGAUGAGGACCAUAAUGACGAUGAUGAUAACAAUGAUGAUGAUCGGGGGAGAUUACCGGAUAUGCAAGUAAAUCACAUUUCCCCAACUUUUGGCUCCAAUAGGGUGCUAAGCUACAAUGUGCACUCCCACAAACAGGAUCCUGAGAGAUAAAAGAUAUUGAGCACAAAGGAAUAUAUGGAGGCAUGCAGAAAUUGUAAUGAAAAAGGAAUGGGCCGAUGCUGGGGGGAAUUUUCUCCAGCUGAAAAACACUCUCAUGUGUUCUAAUUUAGCAUGUCCAAUCUGGUCUGCAUACUUUGAAGAAGCAUAUAUAUAAAUUUUCAAAACAAGCUAGAUGUUUGAUGUGAGAAGUUGUUUGAUGCUGCAAAGAAAAACAUUAUAAUGGUUUGCGACCAAGUGACAACUUAUUACCUCCUUGAUCCCCAAUUUGGGACAGAAAAAGCGACUGAAGAAGUCAAAUUCAGAUUCUGGAGGAGCAAGCCCUGUUAUAAUUAACCCCCUCCCUGGAAGUUUUUGUAUAUCAUCAAACUGUGGUUCUAUAUCCACAACAGUCUUCCCAGAUGGUAGCACGACCUGAACCAACACAACACAACUAGCUGUGAAGAAGUUGUCUUUCUUUACCAUAUGAAUUAUAUGGACAAAAAAGUGAAGAAGCAGAAGCAAAGGGCUAAAGGAUUCGAGAAAAUACAAAGAGGUCAUCUUUCUCAGUCUUCUUUAUAUCAAUCACUGAAGCACCAUUCAAGGCUUUGGAUAUUGAUGCAACCUCAGCAGAGUUAUAUUCGACCAUUGGGACAAUCGGGAAAUCUAAUUCGACAGAGAAGUGUUCUUGUGCUUCUCCAUUCU
rnacentral:lncRNA from 1 species